AUAUUGUCUCUGCCUGUCUCUGACUGGUCAUAUUGUCUCUGCCCUGUCUUCUGACUGGUCAUAUUGUCUCUGCCCUGUCUCUGACCUGGUCAAUUGUCUCUGACUGGUCAUAUUGUCUCUGCCCCUGUCUCUGAAUGGUCAUAUUGUCUCUGCCCUGUCUCUGCUGGUCAUAUUGUCUCUGACUGGUCAUAUUGUCUCUGCCUGUCUCUGACUGGUCAUAUUGUCUCUGACUGGUCAUAUUGUCUCUGCCUGGUCAUAUUGUCUCUGACUGGUCAUAUUGUCUCUGACUGGUCAUAUUGUCUCUGCCCUGUCUCUGACUGGUCAUAUUGUCUCUGACUGGUCAUAUUGUCUCUGACUGGUCAAUUGUCUCUGACACUACCAGACACAACACCUCUAGUGGGGUUGGGGAAUUGUGGCUGCUAGGAAGUCUCUCUCUCUAAAUGGUAGAGUAGUGGGAGAAGUUCUCUCUCCCUCUUUCUAAAUGGUAGGUAGUGGGAGAAGUUCUCUCUCUUCUCUAAAUGGUGAGUAGUGGGAGAAGUCCUCUCUCUCUCUCUGGUUGUAUCAAAGGAGAGGAUAACCUGUCUAACCUUUUAUAA
rnacentral:lncRNA from 1 species